AGCAUCACUAGCCAUGGCUUCAUUAAAAGAAUGGCCAAAGUUUGGGUCGACAUGUGCACCAUAGUCCCAAAACGACCUCCCAUGUGCGGUAACAAAUGGGGUAGGAUCAUCAUUUUGGAACCAGGUGCCAAGAAAAUGCCAAGGCUUUAUUAAAAUAGGAUCCAGUAGAGCUUUCAAAAAAGGUCUUACACUCAAGGGAUCACCCUUGAGCAGGAGUCGAGAAGCAUUAGUAAGAACAUACCCUUCUUCUUGGGGAUCUUCGCCUAGCUUUUGUUGUGCAAAGAAGCCAGAGUGAACUAAAAUGCGCAUAAGCCGGUAGAUGCUGCACGCUUUGGUGGCAUUGAUCGGCAGUGCAGCCACCAGGUCUGUAACUGUCAUGGGCUUCCCAUGGUUUUGGAUGAUAUCUGGAAUACCUAAAUCAAUUGCACAUUUUAGAGACAUGGAGUUUAUAAAGUUGAAGAUGUGAUUCCAUACGUGAGCUUGAGCUUGAAGUAGCUCAUUAACGUGCUCCCCAUUGACAUUGGCCACAUCCAUAUCUUAAUCUUAGCCAAGGUGUUACUAUUUUGCAAUGAAUCAGCUUUGCUAUGAAAUAUACUACAUGUAGACUAUAUUAUAUAAGGGAUGGCGUCAAUGAAUUUGCCCAUUAAUUAAUAUUUCUAACAAAUUAAACUUAUAGUCAAAAGGACGUAUUCAACUAGCUAGGGACAUGUUCUUUAAGUUUCACAUGAAAUAUAGCAUCUUAGAAAAUUAAAUAUGCACUCAAACAUUUUAUUUAAUAGCAGAUACAUAUUUUCUCCAAUUAAAGAAAUUAGAUAAUUCGAACCUUCAAAUUCUUCUUCUCUUAAUAAAAAAAAUCUACAUUUUCUCUUAUAUAAUAUUGAAAUAUAAAAUAUAACUCAGGACAGGGAUAGAUCUAGGAUUUAGUUUAGUGGGGGCAUUUAAUAUAAAUAAUAUUAAAUAUAAAAAUAUAUAAAAAUAAAUUAACUCAAAUGCAUAAUAGAUUAUUUUGUUUAUACAUAAAGAUAACACAUUAUAAUUAUUUUUUAUAGGUUUUUUAGUGUGCAAUAAACUUUUCAAACACUAUCUCUUUGAUUAGAAUGAAAGUUCAAAAUAUUUUUUUUCAUAAUUUUGGAUUUGAUGAAAAUCAUCUAAAUCUAAUUAAAUAUGAAUUUAUUUUAUAAAAUAUUGUGUGUCGCUAUUAUUGAUUUUGGAUGAUUUUUUUAAAAUUGACUUUUUCUUUAUAAGAUAUUUUUUCAUAACUAAUUUAAUUAAAUAAUUUAGUUUAUAUAAUUUCUAAAAAAUAAGAAGAUAAUGUUAUAGUUUAUCUGAUCAAAGUAUCUGUCUUUCUAAAGAAGAAUGGACAGGAAUCAAGCUUUGUCCCUAAUAUUAAUAUUUGUGCCAUUAAUUAAGAAGAAUUGACUGUAAUCGAACUAUUAACAAAAUCAUAUAUAUGUAUAUAUAGUUUAUCAUCAUUUUCUGUGUUAUAUGAAGAAAAACAGGAAUCAAACAAUCAAACAAUCUGUCCCUACCUCUCUCUGGUUCCUUUCCUCUAAAAUCUCCAGCGAUCCUUAGCCUCUCUUGCAUAAUCUAUAUCCUAUAUGUAAAAGCUAACCCUAAGGGAUAGUAUAUGCACAUGCGACAACUUGGAGAUGCGGGUUCUGUACGAUUUGCCAUUCUUCGUGCAAAAGGCCCCCAAGAAAAAAUAAUUGUUCCAAUAAUUCCAAACGCCUGAAACUUAUGAUACCCACCUACGGGCCUACUCCCUAUUAGUAUUAUAUCAUGAUUUUCCAAUAAUUUUGCUUUAGAAUUCAAAUCUAUAUCCUAUCUAAAAAAUCUAUCCCUAAAAUAUAAUAUAUUGAUAUGCGGUAAAUCUAUUCCUUGCUAUGUGUUAUUUUUUAUUAUUUUAAAAAUUUUUGAAAUAUUUUUAAUGAUUAAUAUAUUAAUAUGUGACGUUUUUUUAUUUACCAUAUGAAAAUUUUUAAAAUAAAAAAAUUUCAAAAAAAUUAUUUACUUAAUUAUAAUUAUAAUAAAAAAAUAAUAGUAGUUGAAUAUAGAGAUGAUGAUGUGUUGUUGGUAAUUAUAAUACCUUAAAAUGCUUUUGUAAAGAAAAAAAUAAGCACCUAGAUAUAUUUGAUAUACUGUCAAUAAAUCAGAUGAUAUUAUUUCAUUAAUGAUCAAAUAUUAACUUUUAAAAUAAAUAUACAAAAUUUAAUAUUUUUUAAAAACUUAUUUAUUAAUGAAGUGUUAUAAUUUGAUUCAUUUCAUCAAUAAAAUUGUAUCAUUUAAUUCACUGUAUAGAUAAAUCAAUAAAAAUAAAUGAUAAAUAAAUCAAUAAAACUAAAGAUAAAUCAAUAGAAAUAAAUGAUAAAUAAAAAAUUAAUAACAAAUAAAUAAAUGAAUAAUCAACGCUAGAUAUAUAUAAAAAGAUAAAACCUAAAAUAAAUAAAUAUAAAAAUAUAAAACUUAAAAAUAAAAUGAGUAAUUGGGCUUAAAUAGAUUUAGACCCAUUUGAUUCGGCCCAUACCAAAUGUGAUGUCUACAAUUUACAUGCGAAAACCUGAAUUCAUUACAAAUAUCAUUUUGCUUGGUUUGGUUCAUACUUAUUUUACUGUUUGUUUUUACUAUAUAUAUUUGUUAUCAUGCACGAUGCAAAGGGCUAUUUGUUGUAGUUUUCAUGUAUUUAUGCUUGGGUUUAGACGUUUUAAUAUCCUUGCUGUAGUGUAUGUGAUCCUAAUCUUUGUGGAGCCUUGUUUCUUCUUGCGUGCAGUUCUGUUAUAGCUGCAUGUAUAAUCCAUGAAUAAAAUCCAUGUUUUGGCUUAGGAAAAAAAAUAAACAAAAUAAAACUUCAAAGCUUGAUUGAAUGGUCUUUACCCUUUUUAAGAGGUUUGAUAGCAACCCAUUUCUUGGAAUUUAUCUCCCAAUUAUUUCUUUCAACCUAAAUCCUGGAUUGCACGCAAAGCUAUCUUGUAUCUCGAGUACGGUCUUCCUUGGAUGAUGGGUUUUCACUUGAAGUAGAAUUAAUUACGUAUUUGUUAUCUAAAUUUUGGCAAAUGUUCUGUUUCAUACCUACAUAUUAAAUGUGUUUGGUAUCCAAAUUUUGGCAAAUAUUCAGUUUGAUACCUAAUAUAUAAAAUGUGUAACACGAUACUCGAAAUUUAUUUUCAUUUUUUUAGCAACAUUAUGGCUAGAGAUUUUUUAGCAACAGAAUCCGUCACCUCUAGUCUCAUCUACUUGCUACAAACACAAAAAAAUUAAAAUUAAAAUAAAGGUUAAAUUAUUUUAUUUUUUAAACAAAUUUUUAUAAUUUUAAUUUACGUAAAUAAAUCAUUAUCUUCUUAUUUAUAUUUAAAUGAACCUUUACUUUAAAGAUAUGAUUGAUUUAUAUUAGAGAUUAUAUUUGAUAUAUUAUCAUUGUAAAAAUUUUUAUAUACUAUCAAUAAAUCAGAUGAUAUUAUUUUAUUAAUGAUCAAAUAUCAACUUUUAAAAUAAAUAUACAAAAAUUAAUAUUUUUUAAAAUUUAUUUAUUAAUAAAGUGUCAUCAUUUGAUUUAUUUUAUUAAUGAAAUUAUAUCAUUCAAUUUAUUGUAUAGAUUUUAUACAUUGAUAAUAUAUAAAAUUUUUUAUAUUUUUGGAUAAAAAUUAAAUUAUCCUCUAAAAUAGUGAUGUAAUAAUUUUCAUGAAUAAAUUAUUAUAACUUUUAAAAUAAUCAACUUAUAUCAAAUACUACUUUAAUGAGGCAUGAUCGCAUCAUACGUGUGUUUGGAUAACAAAUAUUAUUGUGACGAAAAGAUUUUAAUAGUGCUGGAGCUUCAGUUAGAACCUAGACCUUCAUAGCUUUAGCGAAGAGACGCAAGUUUUAACUGCAACAAUUCUUCAUUACCAUCCUCUCGUCCUACUAAUUUUUUUCAAUACUUUAUUAAUUUUUUCAACACUAGUCUUUCUUUUUUCAUUUUGUUUUACUUUAAUUUUUUUACUUAAAAUUUUUCAAAAAAAUUAUUUUUUUACAUCAUCAAAUUAUGAAUUUAAUUAUUUAUUAAUAAAAUUAUUAUUUGGUAUAGAAUAAUUUAAUAAAUUUUAAAUUAUUUGUUAAUUUUAUAAAUAUUAAAUAAGUUAUUAUUUUUAAUAUAUAUAAAUUUUAAUUUAAUAUCUUUAAUAAUCAUUUUCUAUUUUUACUAUAAUUCACCUCACUAAUAUUAUUAUUUUUAUAUUUUAAUCUUAUCAUUAUAAUAAUUAAUCUUUUUUUUACUAUAAUCUUUUUUACUAUAGUUUUACUAUAAUCUUAUCAUUAUAAUAAUUAAUCUUAUUUUUAUCAUUGUUUAUAAUUUCAUCGGAACCAACUUAUUACCCAUCCAAAUGAACCAGAAGUUAAAGAUAAAGAUACGUUAACUAUAAUCCUAAUUGUUGUAAUCAUUGUUAAGAAAAAUGUUUACUGGUGUAGUAGAUUAUUAUGCUAAACUUUUAAAUAUAAAAUUAAUUAUUAAUAAUAUUUUACCACAUCAUUCCAACUUCAUUUGUUUUUCAAAGAUUUAUACUCCUUUCAAAAUUCAUAAAACUUUAUUUCUUUGUGAGAGAACGUUUGAGAGGACCCAAAUCGAAUAAUUAUCAUUAUACAAUUCGUAUUCAUUUAAGCAGUACAACAAAUGUAGUAGUUAAUUUUAUACAAUUUACAAAACAAUUAAAUCUAUCCGUAGGCUCCAUGAGUCGAGUUAUUUGCUCGGCAUGUGAGUCUGGCCCAACUUGAGUAGGGCUUUGGGCAUAAGUUUUGGAUCUCGGGUUUUAUUAAUAAUUUUUAUUUUUAUUUAAUUUUAUUUUUAAAAUAAAAUAAUAAUAUUUGCUUAUUUUCACAUUUAAAUAUUUUAAAAAUUUUGUUUAAAAACAUUCACAUUCGGACCUCAUUGGCCCAAUGGCUUAAACUAAAUCAAGUCGUGGACAAAACUUUUGAAUGGUUUAUUGGGCUUGACUCGACUCAUCUUAUUUAUGAAUAAAUUUAACUCAAAGCAAAUAAUUCAAAUAAAUUUUUAGGAUACCGAAUCUAAUUAGUAUUUUUCAAACAAUCAUUAGAAAAAUGAAAUUAAAAAAAUUUAAUUUUAGUUUUUAAGCAUAAUUUUCAAAACCUUAUUACUUAAAUUAAAUUAAAAUUAUGAAAGCAGAGAAAUUUAUUUUAAUAUAAAUUUUUGGUAAAAACUAAAAUGAAUAAACUUUAAAUAGAUUGACAAAGAAUGAAAAUAUUUGUUUUUGUAAAAUGUUAAGAAAUCAAAAUCCAAAAAAUUUCCAGAGAUUAAAAUAAUAGAAUAGAUACAAAUCCAAGGACAUAGAAGCAAAAUCUCCUAAAAGGAGAGAAACCCCGCAAUUAUUAAUGGUAAUUUUAUGGCAUGAUCUUGAAUUAUGUAUGUCAUUUGAUAAUAAAGUAUUGCCUGGACUUCUUUCAUCUGAAACAUGUCAUUUUAUCAAUUUAACCCCGUAUAAACAAAAUUAAAAAUAAAAAACCCAUAGAAACAAUAAAAAAAGGAAUAUUAUUAGUAUAAAAAACUUUGAUUUCAUACAAGUGGCAAAAUAUACAAGGUAUUAAUUGCAAAUAAAGUUUUUUUAUCAAAAAGAAAUUUAUUUAAUAUUAUAAAAUAAAAUUUUGUUUUAUAUUAUGAUUUCUUAUACAUUUUCUUAUAAUUUUUAAUUAUAUAAAUAAGUAUAUAUUAACUUAUUAAUUCAUUUUUUAAAUUUAUUUCAUGCACAUCUCUUCUUAAUUAUAUCUUAAUUAAUUCUUUUCAUAAGAAAAACAUUACAUGUACAUUAUAUGUAUAAUUUAAGUUAAAUUAUGUCAAUAAUUCCUGUACACUAUCAAAAUUUAAAAUUUAAUCUAUUUAUUAUAAUUUAUAUAUCAUUUGGAUUUGAUAAUUUUAAUUUAAUUAUUAAUUUUAUCAAAUUUUUACCCUUAUACUUAGUAACAUAAUCGUUGAUGACAUAAAUAUUGUCUUUACUGACGUAAAAUCUCCUCCAUAUCAUUCUGAAAGCCAUUAGCUUCAUCACAUGAUCCAAGAACUCCCAUAUGACACAAUCGUAAACCUUUUUGAAAUCCAGUUUCAAUAUGAUUCCUCCCCCGACUCACAUUAUUCUUCUUCGAUGAAUCAAUCACCUUAUUUACCAAUAGAAUAUCCUCUAAAAUUUGUUUUCCGGCCAAAAAUCACUCUAUGUAUCACUUAUAAGGCUACCCGUCACUGCCGUUAGCCUUUUUGACAUAAUCUUUGCCAAAAUUCAUUAUGGAGAAUUAAUAAGACUAAUAAGCUUAUAAUCUUUGCAAUAUCAUCAAAGUUUUCAAAAUUUUUUUCCAAACCUACAUGUUUACUUCAAUUUCACCAUAAUAGUUUUAUUCAAAUUCUUCAUAAACAGCUUCAGUUUAUUAAUUUUUUUUAAUCAAACAAAGGCCUGCUCUACCACAAACCUCACAUUAUUCCAUUCUUUCUCGACUUCCCUAAGGAAACCUUUCUUUGGUACCAAUAAUUCAUAAUUUUAGGGAAACACCUUAAGUUAAACUAUACCUCUUAAGUGAAAACAAAAUUAUAUCAAAAUCAGGACAGCCGCUGAACCAUUGCCUUAACUCCCUCCAUUUGCAAAUUAUAACCUCGUCCUCACAACUAGCAUUCAUCCCUAACAUUUCCCUAUUCUCCACGUUACUUCAGCGUCUUCCAUACAUAAAGCCCUCCUUCUAUUUUGAAAAUCUCCAUCUAUAACUGAAUCAUUAACAAUGAUGUCCUUGGAUUUGUGUUUUAGAUCCCUCAGCUCUCUACUUAAUUUCUUCCCCUUUCUUCUUCUUUCCCAAGUAGCUUCACAAUUAAACUCCUCAAUCUCAACAAGACUUUGGCUUUUCUAGCUUUCCUUCCAGAUUGAUGAACGUGCCCUAUAUUAUUAUGGUCACAAUCUAUAACGGUGUUAAAAUUAGGCAUAACAGCCAAGGCCCCCCUCAGACCCAACGUUCUUUAAUUGUGAUCCAUCUAGUAGUCCAUUAAAAACAACGGUAUUAGGCCAAUGUCAGCUUUCUCUUUCUGCCUCAACUCACUAUUGAACUCGUCCACAACAGCUUCUUCCACACAAUUGGGGCUUAACCGGGUUCUCCAUCUCACACUUCGAAACGGCAUUGUCCAUCUUCCCUUUAAGUUUGACACUGCUUAUUUAACAAUCCUGACAUUUUCCAAAUUCUUUUUCAUUAAAUUAAGAGUUUAUAUUUGAUAUAUUAUCGGUAUAUAAAUUUUAUAUAUUAUUAGUUAAUUAAAUAAUAUAAUCUCGUUAAUAAAAUAAAUCAGAUGAUAUUAUUUUAUUAAUAAAUUUUUUAUUUAAAUUUUAUAUAUUUAUUUUAAAAAUUAAUAUUUAUUCAUUAAUAAAAUAAUAUUAUCUAAUUAAUUUUCUGAUAAUAUAUAAAAUUUAUACACAAAUUAUAUAUCAAAUAUUUUAAACGAGCUUUAAUUAAUUAUAAUAAAGAAGUAUAUUUUUAUUAAUUGAAGCUCGCUUAAAAUAUGUUCUCUAUUCGACAAGAAACUCAAUUGGUGGAGCCAUUUUAUAUAAUAAGAAUAAAUUGAAAGUGCAUGCCAGUAGUAAUUAGCAACAUCAAUGAUUUCAACGCGGAUUUAACUUGAUUAAAGAGAAGGGCUGUUUUAUUUCAUAUAUAAUAUUAAGACAAUAGAUUAGGAGAGACAAGUACAAAGCAACAAAUGUUACAAUAAGAUGAAGGUUCAUUAAAAUUAUUACAAUUAUUACAGCAGUAAAGCAAGGGUCUCUUAGGGGUAAACCUCAAUGAGAGAUCUUAAACCAAGUUUAUGAGUAAUUUUAUAGUCAGUAAAACCAGCAGCAAAAAACAGCUUAGCCCAUUCUUCUUGGUUCCUCUCUCUUCCAGUGGCCACGACCAUCAUCUCCAUGUCGAAGAAGAGUUGUGUUUCAAUCGAUUCCUGAUCAUUCACUUUCUGCUUCUGAUCCAUCAAUAUCAUUUCUAUUAUAAUCACCUUCACUCCCACCUUGUCGCGGUUUGAAAUUGCCCCUUUACAUCGUUUCAAAAUCUUCACACAUUCUUCGUCAUUCCAGUCGUGCAAUAUCCACUGUUUUGUUAUAAAUAAUAAAGUUAUCAAUAGAUAGUUUAUUUCGAUUUGAAUUUUGAGCUGAUUUCAUGUAUAGUUAAUUUGCAAAUUCCUCUAUUUCACUUUUGUGGCAAUAUAUUCCCUUUGAUAGAUACUUGUACAAACAGGAUUUAAAUGGGUUUAAAUUUGGGAGAUAUCACCUGGUAUUAAUUUAAAAAAUGAAAGGGUUUAUUUGGACGAAUUCAAGUAAGGCAAUUUUUCACUCUAAUUAUAGUCUACAGCUCGAAUAGGAGGCUAAAAACUUAUACUCCAUAUGCGGAAAAUAAGACAAGACCAGAGAAACAAGCCCAACAACCGACUGUGCAAGUCAGCAAGUUGAGCCUUUCAAAUUUUUGGCCAGAAAUUGCCCGUUAUAUAGCAAGGUCAAAGCAAAAAUAAAAUACCUUUAGUAAAACUGCGUCUGCAGCUGGAACUGCCUCAAACAUGUCUCCUCCAACAUAUUUCAAGUUCCCACUGCCUUGCAGCCCAGCAACAACAUGUGGAAGAUCAAACGCAGUGCAUUCCAACUGUGGAAAUGCAUCAGCAAUGCCCUUGGCCACGGUUCCGGUGCCGCCCCCAACAUCCACCAGAGAAUUCAAUCCCUUAAACGCCUCCUUACACUCGUGAAUCAGAACGUUAGUAACCAAUCGAGCAUCACUAGCCAUGGCUUCUUUAAAAGAAUGGCCAAAGUUUGGGUCGACAUGGGCACCAUAGUCCCAAAACGACCUCCCAUGUGCGGUAACAAAUGGGGUAGGAUCAUCAUUUUGGAACCAGGUGCCAAGAAAAUGCCAAGGCUUUAUUACAACAGGAUCCAGAAUAGCUUUCAAAAGAGGUCUUACACUCAAGGGAUCACCCUUGAGCAGGAGUCGAGAAGCAUUAGUAAGAACAUACCCUUCUUCUUGGGGAUUUUCGCCUAGCUUUUGUUGUGCAAAGAAGCCAGAGUGAACUAAAAUGCGC
rnacentral:lncRNA from 1 species